GAUAACCCCAGCACGUCAUUUGAUACUAUAUCUAGUAAUUAUGACGACCCCGGCAUUCACGCUGGCCCGAGUGAUUCCUCUCAGCAAUUACGUUGUGUAAAUUGUGGUUUAAAUAUCACGAGAACACGAAGGCAUUUGUUGGAAAUUGUAGAAGUGCGAAAUCUUAUAAAACAAUGGGUUCGAUCACAGCAGGUUAGUUAUAUGAUUUUAAGUUAAUAUCUACGAAAUAUCACGUCGCACGUCGCUUUAAGAUAUCUAAUGAUUAAUACUUCUUUGUUAGGUACAAGUGUCAAGUUCCAGUUUAGUGUGCCAUUCGUGUUGGUCUGCCGCCUGGAGACAAAUACGAGAUCCAACUGGUGAACAGCACAAUACUCAAACUGUUGGACAUAAACAAGUGUGCAUUAGCUGUGGCAGGUCACUUUUGAGAAUAAGGUCACAUAUACUCAGGACUGAUUCUCCACGUGAAGAACUCAUAAGGUGUGAGAUUGCCCGUCAAAUUGCACCACGUGAGCUAUCAUCAUCAACUCGUUUGUGUCAUAAUUGCUGGCGAAGAACUGAUAGAGCUACAUCACGUUCAACUGCACAACGGGAAUCUGAA